CCUACGUGAGGCAGCAGUGGGGAAUAUUGCGCAAUGGGCGAAAGCCUGACGCAGCGACGCCGCGUGAGGGAUGAAGGUCUUCGGAUCGUAAACCUCUGUCAGCAGGGAAGAACGGUCACUGUGCUAAUCAGCAGUGAAUUGACGGUACCUGCAAAGGAAGCACCGGCUAACUCCGUGCCAGCAGCCGCGGUAAUACGGAGGGUGCGAGCGUUAAUCGGAAUUACUGGGCGUAAAGCGCUCGUAGGCGGUAUGGCAAGUCAAGGGUGAAAUCCCCGCGCUAAACGUGGGAACUGCCUUUGAAACUGGCAAACUGGAGUGUGUGAGAGGAUAGUGGAAUUCCAGGUGUAGGAGUGAAAUCCGUAGAUAUCUGGAGGAACAUCAGUGGCGAAGGCGACUAUCUGGCACAUAACUGACGCUGAGGAGCGAAAGCGUGGGUAGCAAACAGGAUUAGAUACCCUGGUAGUC
rnacentral:rRNA from 1 species